CCUUCGAUAGCUCAGUUGGUAGAGCGGUGGACUGUAGAUGGGACAGUGGCACAUGGCACAUCAAAUGUUGUGCCAUAUGUACAUGUACAUAAGUAGGACAGAGAUCCAUAGGUCGCUGGUUCAAAUCCGGCUCGAAGGA
rnacentral:tRNA from 1 species